rnacentral:RNase_P_RNA from 1 species
AGCAGAUCAGACAGUCGCGGGGGUAAGGCGAAAGCCUGCUCAUGAGGAAAGUCCGGGCUCCACAGGGCAAGGAUAACGGGUAACGCCCGCCGAAGGCGACUUCAGGAAAAGUGCAACAGAGAUAUACCGCCACGGGGCGCAUCUGCACCGACGUGGUAAGGGUGGAAAGGCGAGGUAAGAGCUCACCCAUCGGCUGGGAACAGUCCGAUGCUGUAAACUCUAUCCGGAGCAACACCGGUAUGGGAGCAACAGGCCGGCCCGGCCGCUCCCGAGGUGGCUUGAUCGUAUCGGCAACGGUACGGCUAGAUAGAUGACUGUCAAGACAGAACCCGGCUUACAGAUCUACUCG